rnacentral:tRNA from 1 species
GAUUCUCGCCAGGAUUUUCACCAGGACUUAUGAUUUGAAAAACCAUCGUUGAAUUCAACUACAAGAAU